rnacentral:lncRNA from 1 species
GAGUCAGCUGCUGUCGUGCCACAGUCUCUGUUUAUUAUGUUCUUAUUAUCUUUCUUAUUAUGAAAGGAAAGAGCUAAAUGUGUUCAUGUGUUUGCAGGAUGAUAGACAACUUAACCAUGUCAUAGGGCAACAGGAAGGAUAGAAGUGGAGGGAAAAAGAGCAAGCAACUUUUCUUCUAUUCGAUUGGGAAGGAGUUUGGAACUGCAGACCCGUCAGCUAUAAGGAAGUCUGGUGUGAAUGCCCAGCCUUGCCCCAGAGGGGAAUGGGUCCUCACUGAGUACUCCUGCAUCCACCUGCUUUCCCAUCUCCCCGUUUGUACAGAAAAGAAGAUAAAGACAUUAUUUAAUUAUCCUCUUCGGGAUAUGAAAGUACCACGUGGAAGAUGGAGGCCAACUAUUUCUUCUUCAGGAGAGUCAAAAGAACCACAUUGAAGAAGAGGUUCACAACAGAUGCUAAAAAAUCUAAGGGUGCUCAUGGCCCGAAUACGUUUCCAGGCAGAGUUUGUGAGCAGAGUUCACAAAGGUGCGGAUGAAGACUGUUCGCUGGGCUUCACUAGUACAAGGACAGGCUGACAGUGCAAAGACGAAGAGGAACGGUCCCAGCCAUCAGGAAACUCAGCAGCUUGGAAGAUACUAAACAGCCACUCCUCCAGGAUGUAAGUUCCCUCAUUACAAAGGUGCCAUAUUAAGAAACAUCUUUAUAAAUUAAAGGAAGCAGGGUUGGCAGGAUUGAAG